AGAGAUGUGUGAUGACGCAUAUCAAUAAGCGGAGGAAAAGAAACUAACAAGGAUUCCCUUAGUAACGGCGAGUGAAGCGGGAAGAGCUCAAAUUUGAAAUCUUCAAGGUUUUACCUUGACGAAUUGUAGUUUAAAGAAGUGUUUUCUGUUAGUGGAGUUGGCUAAAAGUUCUUUGGAAUAGGACAUCAUAGAGGGUGAGAAUCCCGUAUUUGAUCAUUCUUUCUAGCUGUGUGAUACACUUUCAACGAGUCGGAUUGUUUGGGAAUGCAGUCCAAAAUGGGUGGUAAAUUUCAUCUAAAGCUAAAUAUUGGCGAGAGACCGAUAGCGAACAAGUACCGUGAGGGAAAGAUGAAAAGAACUUUGAAAAGAGAGUUAAACAGUACGUGAAAUUGUCAAAAGGGAAGCGUUUGACACCAGUGUUGUUUUUCCGAAAAUCAAUUACGAAUGUUUUGUUUUUAAGAAGUUAUGACUUCAUCGGCUUGCUUCUCUCUUUACGAAACUUUCUUAAUGCACUUUUCGGUUAACAAGUCAACAUCAAUUUCUUUUGUUGUAAAAGGGUACGAGGAAGGUGGCUUUCUUUUCGGAGAAAGUGUUUAUAGCCUUGUACCUCUGCAAUCGGAGAGAUUGAGGUCUGCAGCGUAGAUCCUUCGGGGUUAGAUACAUUUGUGCUAAGUUAUAGCUUUUCAUAGACAACUUGUUGACUAUGUUAAGUCUUGUAGCUUACUCGCUUAUGCUAUUUUACCUACGCUUAGGAUGUUGACAGCAGUAUAGACUGU
rnacentral:rRNA from 1 species